UGGUUAAUGUGAAAGAAUUUGGAUUUGAGAUUGUGUAUUGAUGUGUUUUUGUGAUCAUGUACUUGUAUUUAGUCCAUUGUUGGAUUUGCUCAAGUUAAUUCAAGUUAAUUUUUCAUUUGAUAAAGAAAAAAAACUCAUUGAAAAACUUGCAACAAUAGAGAAAGGAAGAGAAAAAGGGGUGCGGCUAUCUGAAGAAAAAGAAGAGGAGGAACGAGGGGGG
rnacentral:lncRNA from 1 species